CUUAAUGUUAUGUGCACGUACAUAAUUCUCCAAUUUUGACAGUAGUGAAAUGAUCCUUUUUUUCUCUUUCCUGCAGAGUUUACAUGAACAUCUAUUUUGACUACACCUGAAUUUUUUUCAAUAUCCUAACUUUUCCAUAGGCCUUCUGUAUUUCAACAGCUCAAUACAGACAUUGUGUUUUAAGGCAGGGACCAGAGGAGGUCUGGCAAAAUGGGGGUCCAGCUGUAACUCUCCUAUGCUUCAUGUUGAUGUAAGAAGCAAGAAAGGAAAAAAUAUACACAAGAAAAACACUGAAAAGGAAGACUGCUAAUGCUGCUAAGGUAAG
rnacentral:lncRNA from 1 species